rnacentral:lncRNA from 1 species
CGAGUGUUUGUAGACAAUCAAUAGAAGAUGCCCGUUCUCAGGAUAAGAGAUCUGUGUUUGAGAGAGGCGAGGGAAGUUCAGUAGAAAAACGAGAGAGACUUAAGGAAACUUAAGUGAGCGCAGAGGAUGAUACAAGAGUUUAAAGACGUCUUAGGGGAGGGGCCGGACUGAAGCCUGAGGGGCGGGGUCGUCAUGGCGCGCAGCGUCGCGCACCGCGCAUGCGCAUCCCUCCGGCGGUUAGAUUUGAAUACUUCGCCGACACUCGGAGGUCGUUGUGAAGUGGCGCCUCACUCCGAAGGAGCGCGCGGACCCCAAACAAGUCAAGCAGGUGGCCUGUGGCGGGCCCUGCGCGCUGCCGGCGUCCCGGCUCGCCCCACCCGCCAUUUUUUCCCGAGUACCAGGAUCUUGUACCACUGCCUCUCAUCCGCGAUCUCCCUGUGGUGUGUUUCUCGGCGACGUUCCCGGCUGCAGUGA